rnacentral:rRNA from 1 species
UGGGGAAUAUUGCACAAUGGGCGCAAGCCUGAUGCAGCCAUGCCGCGUGUGUGAAGAAGGCCUUCGGGUUGUAAAGCACUUUCAGCGAGGAGGAAGGUGGUGAGCUUAAUACGCUCAUCAAUUGACGUUACUCGCAGAAGAAGCACCGGCUAACUCCGUGCCAGCAGCCGCGGUAAUACGGAGGGUGCAAGCGUUAAUCGGAAUUACUGGGCGUAAAGCGCACGCAGGCGGUUUGUUAAGUCAGAUGUGAAAUCCCCGGGCUCAACCUGGGAACUGCAUUUGAAACUGGCAAGCUAGAGUCUCGUAGAGGGGGGCUAGAAUUUCCAGGUGUAGCGGUGAAAUGCGUAGAGAUCUGGAGGAAUACCGGUGGCGAAGGCGGCCCCCCUGGACGAAGACUGACGCUCAGGUGCGAAAGCGUGGGGCAGCAAACAGGAUUAGAUACCCUGGUAGUCCACGCUGUAAACGAUGUC